rnacentral:rRNA from 1 species
UACGUAGGGGGCAAGCGUUGUCCGGAAUUAUUGGGCGUAAAGAGCUCGUAGGCGGCUUGUCACGUCGGGUGUGAAAGCCCGGGGCUUAACCCCGGGUCUGCAUUCGAUACGGGCAGGCUAGAGUGUGGUAGGGGAGAUCGAAUUCCUGGUGUAGCGGUGAAAUGCGCAGAUAUCAAGGAGGAACACCGGUGGCGAAGGCGGAUCUCUGGGCCAUUACUGACGCUGAGGAGCUGAAAGCGUUGGGGGAGCGAAACAGGG